CCGAACUUCACCAUCGACCCACACGGCAACCUCCGUAGGAGGGCCUCAAUAAUCCAAGUUCAACCAGGAGUGCAAGCGCUGAGGUAUGAUGUGUUAUUGGCAGAUUCACAUUGGUUUCGUGGUCAGAGAGGUGGAGUACAUUUGGAAUUGCUAUGCCUAAGAGCUAAGAUGUGAUGUGUCUGCUUACAUUUGUCUGAAGAGGGAAAGGAAGCUCUUGUUGAUCAUAGGGCUACAGUAUUAGCGCUACUACCUUGGACCAGCUUGCCAAGGUAUUGAGUGCUGCCCGAUAAGGGGUCGAGGACGAGCGACGACGGCCGGGAGCUGAUUGAGGCGUGUUUUACGGCAAGUGGCCUACUGGGAGCGACGGCAUUUAGGGAUUUUAGCUUAUGUGGCUCCUUAAUUGCCAGGAUAUUUGCACAGCUGAUUCUUUAGUUCAAUUUUGUUCGUGUAGAGAUCCAGGCACCAACAGCAAGUUAAUCACAAUUGAGUUGAAAAAUGCCUGGCAAAUAUUUGGCAAGUGGGAAGAAACUAGCAUGAUGCCAAGUUCUAGCUGAUGUAAUUUCCUGACGGUGUGCAUCUGGAUGUAAAUGUGAAACCGUGUAGCUUUGUGCUAUAAAGCCUGGAUAUAAAUAACUCGUGGCGUUAUUAUGCCAAUAAUUAUUUCGUUUUUUAAGGAUGCGUCAAGUACGUUGAUGUUUUAUGUGACUUUCAAGAGCUUUUGUGACAA